rnacentral:rRNA from 1 species
AGAACGAACGCUGGCGGCAUGCCUAAUACAUGCAAGUCGAACGAACACUUCGGUGUUAGUGGCGCACGGGUGCGUAACGCGUGGGAAUCUGCCCUUGGGUUCGGAAUAACAGUUGGAAACGACUGCGUAAUACCGGAUGAUAUCGAAAGAUCAAAGAUUUAUCGACCCAGGGGAUGAGCCCGCGUAGGAUUAGCUAGUUGGUGAGGUAAAGGCUCACCAAGGCGACGAUCCUUAGCUGGUCUGAGAGGAUGAUCAGCCACACUGGGACUGAGACACGGCCCAGACUCCUACGGAGGCAGCAGUAGGGAAUAUUAGGGACAAUGGGCGCAAGGACCUGAGUACCAAGCAAUGACCGCGUUGACGUGAUGAAGGCCUUAGGGUGUAAAGCUACUUUACCGAG